AGUGAACGCUGGCGGUAGGCCUAACACAUGCAAGUCGAACGGCAGCACAGUAAGAGCUUGCUCUUACGGGUGGCGAGUGGCGGACGGGUGAGGAAUACAUCGGAAUCUACUUUUUCGUGGGGGAUAACGUAGGGAAACUUACGCUAAUACCGCAUACGACCUACGGGUGAAAGCAGGGGAUCUUCGGACCUUGCGCGAUUGAAUGAGCCGAUGUCGGAUUAGCUAGUUGGCGGGGUAAAGGCCCACCAAGGCGACGAUCCGUAGCUGGUCUGAGAGGAUGAUCAGCCACACUGGAACUGAGACACGCUCCAGACUCCUACGGGAGGCAGCAGUGGGGAAUAUUGGACAAUGGGCGCAAGCCUGAUCCAGCCAUACCGCGUGGGUGAAGAAGGCCUUCGGGUUGUAAAGCCCUUUUGUUGGGAAAGAAAGGCAGCAGGUUAAUACCCCGCUGUUCUGACGGUACCCAAAGAAUAAGCACCGGCUAACUUCGUG
rnacentral:rRNA from 1 species